CCUACGGGUGGCAGCAGUGGGGAAUAUUGCACAAUGGGGGAAACCCUGAUGCAGCGACGCCGCGUGAGUGAAGAAGUAUUUCGGUAUGUAAAGCUCUGUCAGCAGGGAAGAAAAUGACGGUAUCUGACCAAAAAGCCCCGGCUAACUACGUGCCAGCAGCCGCGGGAAGACGUAGGGGGCAAGCGUUAUCCGGAUGUACUGGGUGUAAAGGGGGCGUAGACGGCAGGGCAAGUCUGGAGUGAAAGGCGGGGGCUCAACCCCCGGACUGCACUUGAAACUGCCGGGCUGGAGUGCAGGAGAGGUAAGUGGAAUUCCUAGUGUAGCGGUGAAAUGCGUAGAUAUUAGGAGGAACACCAGUGGCGAAGGCGGCUUACUGGACUGUAACUGACGUUGAGGCUCGAAAGCGUGGGGAGCAAACAGGAUUAGAUACCCUGGUAGUC
rnacentral:rRNA from 1 species